rfam:Myotis lucifugus cont2.41372, whole genome shotgun sequence.
AGUGGUUCUUUGGUGACGCACCCCAGAACCAGAGACGAGGGAGCCCGAUUCUGGGGUGCGUCACCUGAGAACCGCC